rnacentral:lncRNA from 1 species
CUUAAUAAAACUUUUUUGGUGUAAAAAAAUUAAAGUUACUAAAAUUAUAUUAUAUUCUGUGUAGUUUAACAUAGGAAUGAAUUGUUGGUGGAUCUACAGUGUCGGGUGGCGGUUUCCGGAACCCCCACCCACUAUCGUUGAUCCCCUAAAUAUAUUAAAAUGAGAAGAAGUUAAUAAAAUUUUAUAGAUGGGACAAAAAUUGAAGGUUGGCUUGAUGGCAUAGAAGGACACUUAAAUUCUCUAUGUUUCCUUAUGAACAUGGGAUCAAUCCUCAUGGAGGUUGUCUUUUUUAUUAUUAUUAUAUAUUGACUUAUUUUGUCGAGAACCCACAAGUCCAAAAAUUAUUGUUGACAUUUUUCUUUAUGGUUCAAAAUAUAUGAAUUUCUCAAAGUUCAAGAUGAAUUGUUAAUUAUAUUUUUCUAGAAUUACCAUUCUUUUUAACGCGGUUUUCAACUACUUUUAAAUCUCAGAAUAACGAAUAUCUACAUUUUUAAGCAGACAUUAUCCUUUGAUUAAUGUCUUUGAACAUCUUUUUUAACAGGUGUGAUACACCCAACAAUUCAUUUACAUUGGACUAGAGAAAGUAUACAUAAAGGAAAAAGUAUUGCUCGAGAAUUAUAUUUUUAUGAAUAUAUAUAUAUAUAAUUUCGAACAUUUUUAACGAAAUUCAUGAUUUCGCCAAUGAAUCAAUUAAUGACCAGGAACAAAGACCUCAGGACCAAACUCUUGAGUCUCAUAGAAUUCUCUAUUAAGAGCAUCAACCCCAGCAUCAUCAUUUUCAGAGGCCCCUAAUUCCUCCUUUGAUGUUGUUGGAUCUUGGCUUGCCACUUCAUUGGGUUUUUGGUCUUGGGAUUGAACAAUCAUAGAAGAACAAAUCAAGAAUAUUAGAACAAAAAAUGCAAGAAUGGAUUUUCUUUCCAUUUUUUGAUAAAAAUAAAAGAAUUAUUUUCUUUGGGGUGGGGGAGUUUGGUUGAUUUUUCUUUGGUUUUGGUGAUUAACUGAAAGAUAUUGGAAUUUAAAAGGAGAAAAUUGUAACUGUUUUUGAGGAAAUUAAGG